GGAGGAGAGAGCACAAAUGACAAGGCGGCAGGGACGGAAGUUCCAUAGGUCAAAAGAACAUUGGAGAGGCAAGGCUGCUUUUCUUUCUUCCCUACCAGAGCUGCAUCACGACUGAAGAAUGUCUUCCAUUUUAAAAGUGUUUGGGAGAGACGAGAAGGAAAAGGAAAAAGAAAAGGAAAAAAGCCACAAAGAGGGUGAGAAGAAAGAUAAGAAAAAGAAAAAGGAGAAAAAGCAUGAUGGGAAAGAUGAUGACAGCAGCAGCAGCUCAGACAGCGAUUCUGAAAAGGCUCGCAGUGGUGACAAGAAGAAAAAGAAGGAAAAGGAUUAAAUUUGGGGCAGCCAACAACUAGCAGAGGACAUGAGCCGAGUUGCCUAAGAAUGUCUUCAGGGCAUUUGGAAAGGAAGGAAGAAGUGUCUGGGUUCAAUGCAUGUAAAACGAAGUGUAUUUGUUUUGUUUUCCAUUAAAACUUAAUACUCUG